rnacentral:rRNA from 1 species
UGAGGAAUAUUGGUCAAUGGACGCAAGUCUGAACCAGCCAUGCCGCGUGCAGGAAGACGGCUCUAUGAGUUGUAAACUGCUUUUGUACGAGGGUAAACGCAGGUACGCGUACCUGUUUGAAAGUAUCGUACGAAUAAGGAUCGGCUAACUCCGUGCCAGCAGCCGCGGUAAUACGGAGGAUUCAAGCGUUAUCCGGAUUUAUUGGGUUUAAAGGGUGCGUAGGCGGUUUGAUAAGUUAGAGGUGAAAUGCCGGGGCUCAACUCCGGAACUGCCUCUGAUACUGUUGAGCUAGAGAGUAGAUGCGGUAGGCGGAAUGUAUGGUGUAGCGGUGAAAUGCAUAGAGAUCAUACAGAACACCGAUUGCGAAGGCAGCUUACCAAACUAUGUCUGACGUUGAGGC